CUGCUUUCUCCCGUCAGCCGAUGCGAGAGGGAGUGUCGACGCGGGUGUGAUGCCUCCGACGUGAAGACUGACGCCAAGAGCGGUGCGACGCGACCAUGUCCAUGCGCCUGCGUGCCAAGUUAGCGGCGCGAACCUAAAAGAGGCGACCCGUCAUCAUCGUCAGUCACCUUCCGAUUCUCCCCCCGCCCACCCCACUGAAUGCGUCUUCUCCGCGCCGUGUUCGUCCUGCUCGCUGCGACCGCAUGGAGUGCGCAGUGCCUGCACUUGCGGGGAACGUUCCGCACGGGCCAGUUCUUCACGUUUCUCGCCAAGUUCGGCUUCAAGAAGACCGACCGGCAUGACCACGAGAACACGCUCGGCUACAUCUACGGCAACGUCACCGCGCCGGCGAACGCUGGCGUCACGCACCGCGGUACGCUUGUGGUCGCCGACAGAGACCACUUCCUCGCCUUCUACGGCAAUCGGACGCAGAGCUACCCGGACGGCGGCACCGCAGCGUCCGUGUGCGAGCUCAUGUUCGCCGGCAUCAACCGGGUCGCAUUCGACAGCAGCUGCAACCCGAACGGCACGCAGGACUUUCUCCGCAACAUACCGUGCGCGGCGGGCAAGCUAUGCGAGGACGAGGACAAACCGAGCCGCGUCGUCGCCGGCAAUCAGUUCACCUACACCGUGCGAGAUCUUCAUCAAGCUCGGUUUUGGUACGUCAGCAUGGUCUCGUGCUACCGGGAAGGCGAAGGCAAGAACUGCAAGUGGAAGGACUCGGUCGACGAAGACAUUGAGAUAGCGUACGACAUCUGGCUUGUGAACGGCAACCCGGCUGCCCCCUCGCACAACGUUUUUGAAUAUCAGUUCUCCUUUGAGCAGCAGGGCAGCCUGGAAAGGGUUCUCCUCUUCUUCCUCCUCUACUUGAUCCUUGCCGGGCUUCAGGUGUACGCCGUCAUGCGACAGAAGCACCUGGUCACGCGGCUCUUCACGGCUGCCCUCACCCUGCAACUGCUCUCAUUUCUGUGGACAAUCACGCACCUGGCAUUCUUUACCUGGGAUGGCGACGGGGUCCCGUCGCUCGGGAUUGUUGGUGAUGUCAGCUACAUGCUUUCACAGUCUCUGUUCAUGCUGCUCCUGCUGCUGCUCGCCAAAGGUUGGGCCAUCACGCGCACAGAGUUGACGUGGAAGCCUGUAUUGUUCUGCAUUUGGCUGGUCUAUAGCUGCAUACAGAUCCUCCUGUACGUCUGGAACAUGACGGAGGUGGAUGUAAUUGAGGAGAUUGACGAGUACCAGACCUAUCCGGGCUGGAUCUCCCUCUGCUUCCGACUGGUGGUGACCGCCUGGUUCCUCACGGAGCUGCGUUCUACCAUGAUGGAUGAGAAUGACCACCGAAAGCUGCGCUUCUACCUCCAUUUCGGAGCGGGGCUAUUGUGCUGGUUCGUCUAUCUGCCCGUGGUGGCCCUCAUCGCCCUCCAGGUAUCUGCCCUGUGGAGGCAGAAGUUCAUACUCGGCAUCAGCUCCUGCGCCGAUUUCCUGGCGUACGCCAUCAUCACGCAUCUGCUGUGGCCGACGCGGAGUCAGCAGUACUUCCAACUUCAGUCCGAGCUCGACCCCGGCGACGAGCUCGAAGAGCUCAACGAGGCGCCGCACAACGUCCAGGCCAACUGCCGAAAGGUCUGAGAUCGUGUCUUUGUGUCCUUUGGCCUCCCCCCUCGGCCCUCUUGAAGAGUGUCCGAAGAGCUCAUCACCAUGCACUUUGCACGGCAGCACCCGUUACCGCCAUCCUGCCUGCCCGUGCCCGCUCGUCGGGCUGUACCGCAUGUUCACGUGCAGUACGGAAGCGAUCUGUUCAUCGCAAACUAAGAGAAGUCAUGCAAGCAUCUUCUGUUAGAAGUGAAACGUCACCACAGUCUGUAAUGACUUGGGGAGGAGGACUCUUAAGUGCUUCCUGCUUGUUUGCUGCUACAAAGCCUCUGACAUGUUUGAUGCUUCUUCUCCAUACUGUUUACUAUACGUAGCACUUGUUGCAUCGAGUACUUAUAUAUAUAGGAUUGUUUUUAAUUCCAUAAACUAUCUGUUUUCGAUGGUGGCGCAGUUAUUUUAAAGCAGCCACCACGGUGCUAGGGUUCCCAGUGCCCACAUUUCCGUUUGUGUUGCUCGUAGAUUAGAUAUAACCUCCCGCUCGCAGCAGCGAGCGACAGAUCUGACGUUUACGGUCCUGUAUGUUAACCGUCAACGCUGUCGUAUCCUACCAGGCAACUCAGCCUAGAUAGGGCUAGGUCAGACAAGCCAAUCUUGUAGUAUAUUAGAUGUAGAGACAGACGCCAUUAUUGCACACCUGUGCGCAACUUUCCAGUGCCAUCUGAAAAGAGAAGACUUGCCCGGCUAAGCAUCCGCAACACUCGUCAAGAGCAUCGCUCAUAAGACAGGCAGGACAGCGGCAUUUCGGUCUACUCCACUUCACGCCUAUGUAGCAGAACGGAACUGGUUUACCUGAAGCCAAGUGUACAGUCACAAAUCACAGCGUGCCUAUCUCGUUAAAAGUGGUUCUGAAGUCCUCGUACUAUUGUUCUGUGCACAAAACUCCUCUCUAUAAGGACUUUCGCAUCUGCUAACUUUGAAGCUCACGAUGCAAAACGAUUUAGCUGGUGAUUUCAGUUCGCUGGGACGUCUUGUCGUUUAAUCUUGCGCAACACGACUAACCCUCGCAUGCUUUUUGUUUAGCAGCAGACGACGGUUUGGGUCGUAUUUCCAGCAUUGUGUUUUCGAAGGUGUUCGUUGUUUCCGGUGGUGUGUUUAUAUGCUCCACAGUAUUUUGCGCGACUAGUCAGCAACUUGUAUCAAGGAUGACUACUAGUUGCUUCCCUGAGAAGCUGUGAUGUUCUGUUCCUUCUCACUUUUUUUUUUCAUUCUCUUGUGUUAGAAUGGAUUGAGGAGCGACGAAGCGAUAUGUACUUUUCAGUGGUGCCCUUAUGUAAUGGUAUGGGCACUACCCCAUGAGAGAUCUUCUUUUGAAGUUCCCGAACAUAACUAUAUUUCAACGCCUCAUUCGCUAACUAGCUAUGUUGGGGGCUUGGCCUUUUGGUUUUCUCUCUAUAUACACUUCCUGUGACAUCUUCAGCUUUGUUUUUCCAUGCUGUGUACUAUUUUCCUGAAGUUAGUGUUUUUAUCCCAAAGUUGUGACUGAGUAUAAGCCGCCACAGCAUUUAUUACUUGUUUCUCAAUGAUUUCAUGUCUUGUAAUGAUCUGUUGUUGGUUUAAAGAGAAAAAAAUAAACUGAUGCAAGAAUGACCA